UAUAAGGGAUUUUCUUUCUAAAGUAAAAAAAUCUGAAAACAAAGCAAAGGAUAGUUAAAACAUGUUGAAUUAAAUUAUUACAAUGAAACACAUGAAAUACAUUAAAAUAUGGAGUCUUCAUCUGUGUCUUAAACUAAGUAGACCCCAAACUAUUUAAAUUCUUCACAGAGGAUCUUAUUGUUCCAAGUUCCCCCACAAGUACCAUCACAGCACAGGUACCAUCACAGGUACCAUCACAGGUACCAUCACAGGUACCAUCACAGGUACCAUCACAGGAGUAUGAAUCCAAUAACAGGCCACUGACGUUAGCACUUUGAAUAUAAUGGUAUCAAUUCAGACAGACACAGACAGUCAGUCAGUCAGAUAGUCAGCCAGCCAGUCAGAUAG
rnacentral:lncRNA from 13 species